rnacentral:lncRNA from 10 species
GUAACAUCCAUGUUCUACUUGUUAUAUCAGUACUCUGCCUUCAAAAUGGAAUUCCUCCGUUUGACCCAUUUCUCAACAGAAGGUUCUUUUCUGGGCUAGGUCAAAUCCAUUAAGCUGAAAAACGUAUCCAUGCUAAUGAUCAGUCAUAGGUUAAUUGCUCACCCCAUUUGAAAGUAUAUGUUCAUUAUAACAGGCAUUUCUAGGCAUUAUCUUAAUCUGUGGUUUAUUGAAGAAAUUUCAGAUACCAUAAUAGAUGACAUAUAGUGAAGUGCAUAGAUGAUUAAGAUUUUCUAAGGACAUUCCAAGUGAGAGGUAAAAUAAAGAACAGCAAAAUAGAAUGGAUUCCAACACCCUGCUUCAAAACUCAGAGAUAUAAAAAGGGUUCAUAGGCAUACCACUUGGGAAAUUGUUGAUAAAAUCCCCAAAACAUUAAGCUGAUGAGAGAUAUGGUUAGAUGGUUUUAGAAGUCUUCUAUCUACAUAAAUGUGAAGUCAGUUUCCUUGGAAGCCACUUCAGUAACUGAUAUGGUUUGGUUGUAUCUCCACCCAAAUCUCAUCUUGAAUUGGAAGCCACUUCAGUAACUGAUAUGGUUUGGUUGUAUCUCCACCCAAAUCUCAUCUUGAAUUGUAGCUCUCAUAAUUCCCAUGUGUUGUGGGAGGGACUCGGUGGGAGGUAAUCGAAUCAUGGGGACGGGUAUUUCUUUUUCUUGUAAUAGUGAAUAAGUCUCAUGAGAUCUGAUGGUUUUAUAAAGGGGAGUUCCCCUGCACAUGCUCUCUUACCUGCCACCUUAUAAGUAAGACGUGGCUUUGCUCCUCUUUCACCUUCUGCCAUGACAGUGAGGCCUCCCCAGCCAUGUGGAAUUCUAAGUCAAUUAAACCUCCUUUCCUUUAUAAAUUACUCAGCCUUGAGUAUGUCUUUAUUAGCAGUGUGAGAACAGACUAAUACAUUCCAUCUCUUUAAUUUACUAAUCAUUCCAUCUCUGUAAUUUACCAACAGUUAAUACAAACAAUUUCAUCUUUUAAAACUUUAUGUUUACAUCUGUGGGAUUCUUGGGGUCAAGGCAUAUGAAUACAUGUGUUCAGAAACCAGAUAACUGAAUAUAAAGGUUUUUUUAAAUAAAAACUACUAUUAUCACCAGACUUAAUAUUAUUUCCACAGGUAAUCUUUACUUUGAUUCAAGAGAUGAAGCAAAACUAAGCCUAUCCUAGAGAUUUAAAAUCUAGAACACACUGCCACAGACAUGAAUAAAAUGCAUAAGGGCAAUUUCAAAGUAAUAAAAAGAAAAGUAAACAAAAAAGUUAAUGAAAUAAUUUAUUUCCAUUAUUAGAUAAAGGGUUAAAAUUAAUUGAAAAUCUUAUCAAUUGGUAAAUAUUUUAUUCAAUUUAUAUAAUAGCAUAAAUGUUAUAUCUUUAUAGACUACCUUUGCAAGAAGAUUUCUGAUAUAGUUUGGAUGUUUGUCCUCUCCAAAUCUCAUGUUGAAAUGUAAUCCCCAGUGUUGGAGGUGUGGCCUGGUAGGAAGUGUUUGGGUCAUGGGGGCAGAUGCCUCAUCCCUCAUGAAUUGCUUGGUGCUAUCCUCAUUAUAGUGAGUGAGUUCUCCUGCGAUCUGGUUGUUUAAAAGUGUGUGGCACCACCUCCUCUUUCUCUUGAUCCUGCUCUUGCCAUGUGAUGUGUGGGCUCUCAUUUCAACUUCUGUCAUGUUUGUAAGCUUCCCAAGGCCUCAUCAGAAGCAGAUGCCAGCACCUUCCUGCAAAGCCUGCAGAACCAUGAGCCAAUUACACUCCUUUCCUUUAUAAAUUACCCAGCCUCAGGUAGUUAUAAAAACAUGGCCUAAUAUACUUUCUAAAAUCAUAUCAAAAAGAGACUCUUACUAAUAAAUUCUAAACAAAUAUAUAUAAAGUAAGAAUUCUUGGGAGGAAUUAUAAAGGGAUUGAAAAAUAACAUAAAACUACAGAAAAGUUUCAGAACAUCUUCUCAGUGACCUUGAACUCUUGUGUCUUCACAUCACUGAAUCCUUUGCAGACCUUCCCUAGCACCAGCCUGGCUUGUGGCAGCCCCCCAGGGUGGCUAGACCCAGAAUAGCAGCAGGAGUCAACAGUAGUCUGGCCCUCAGGAAUUGCCACUCUUCAGGGAAGAGGGAGUGCACCACAGCAAGGGAGCACCCCGUGGGACAAAAGAAACCAGCGCGUGAGUUUUGUGUGUCCCGGAACUUCCCACUUGUGGGCAGGGAGCAGUUGCAGUUCUUUCAGCAAAAGUACAAACUCAGUUCUGGGUUCAUUGUGGAGAAGACUGUGGUUCUGCCCCAUCAGUCAUGCAGCCCCAGUGCUAAUGAAGGGAUCAGUAGAAGGGGACUUCUCUCCCUCCCCAUCACUGCAGACACAUCCAAGGCUUCUUCAACUGGAACUCAGCCUGGGUGCACCUGUAGAUGGCAUUUAUGGAGCAUUUUGAGGUGCAGUCCCACAGGAGGUAUGCUCUUUAGUCUCAGGCUUGCAAGAGGGGCAGGGUCCCGAUCCCUCUCUCCCUGGAACAUCAGCAUUGCUAGUGAUGGACAGAGGUGUUCGCCUGAUCUGAAUAUCUGGAACACGGGGACAGAGGCAUCAUAAGGAGGCAGAUUGCUUUCCUAUUGGCCUGAUAGUAGAGCAGCUCCUUUCCUUCCUGCUGAGAAGACCUAACAACAUUUUACCAGGAGCUCCCCGAGCCUCCUCUGUCUGGGCUGAGGGUUUACUCACCAUUGGGGUAUUGCGUAUACCCACCUGUUUCAGGUGCAGCCAGUUCUUAUCCAUGAGCAUCUCCUAAUAGCCUGAAGACUGAACUAUUCAACCCAUUGAAAAAAAAUUCUGGGAAAAGUGUACACCACUGGGGACUGAGAAAAGCUUCAUGAGACCUCUUUCAUCCUGGCCUUACAGGAGACAGUGAGACUGUUCACACACUGUGAUGGUUAAUAUUAGGUGUCAACCUGAUUGGAUUGAAAGAUGCCUAGAGAGCUGAUAGAGCAUUGUUUUGGGGCGUGAGGGUGUUGCCAGAGGAGAUUGACAUUUGAGUCAGUAGACUAGGAGAGGAAAUCUGCCCUAAAUGUGGGUGAAGCACCAUCCAAUUGGCUGCCACUGCGGCUGAGACAAAGGAGGCAGAAGAAGGUGGGAUAAGCUGGCCUGCCGAGUCUUCUGGCUUUCAUCUAUCCCCCAUGCUGGAUGCUUCCUUAUGUUCCUCAUGCUCUUGAACAUCAGAAUCCAGUUUCUUCUGCCUUUGAAUUCUUCAACUUAAACCAUAGAAUACUAUGCAGCUGUUAAAAAACCAUGUCCUUUUCAGCAACAUGGAUGGAGCUGGAGGCCAUUAUCCUAAGCAAAUUAACGCAGCAACAGAAAACCAAAUACUGCAUAUUCUCACUUAUAAGUGGGUGCUAAACAACUGGAACACAUGGACACUAGGAGGGGAACAACAGACGCUGGGGGGUACUCGAGGGUGGAGGGUGGAAUGAGGGACAGGAUCAAAAAAACUACCUAUUAGGUACUAUGCUUAUUACAUAGGUGAUGAAAUUAUCUGUACACAAAACCUCCAUGACAUGCAAUUUACCUAUGUGACAAAUCUGCUCAUGUAUCCUUGACCUAUAAUAAAAGUUACAAAAAAAUUAGUGGCCCAUAAUUAGAGUUUACGGUGAUAAAAAAAGGCUAAAUAUAAUGAACUCACCAUAGUACAUAUUAUACAGUAGAUGCAAAAUCGUGGCUACUUUGCUUCUCAGGAUCGAAUACUAAACAAAAGAAAAAUAAGUAUAUAUCAACAUUUACAUUGGCAAAUACAUUUAUCUUCAGUUGAUUAGAGCAAAUACGAUGCUGUCAGACAAUGCGAGCUCUACUGAGUUGAAUUUACUUCCUAAUUUUAAAUUCUGUACAAUAAAAGCAAGACAAUCUCAAUUUAAAGCCAAAUUGUUUUAUACAGCAAGUUUUAUAUGUAUGUGAAUUCUAGUUUGUUUGUGUGCCUAAUUAAUGAGUUACAAUAUGCAGUCAGUGAUUAAUAAUGAGUGGAUGAGUCUAGAUAACAUUGGGCUGUCUGAUUUUUGCAAGUCUCUCAGAAUCAUGAUGUAUUUCUUUUCAAGCAUGAAUCUUGAAAACUCACAGGCUGUGAAGGGAGGGCUUAGGUUUCAGAAAAAUACCUCAGUGAUAAAGAAGAGAUUGUCUGUUGUGUCAUGACCUCUCAAGCAGCAAUUCUAUAAAUAAGAUGACACAAAGCAGCAUGGCAGGCGUGUACCUAUGAUAACUCAAGUGUGUAUUAUAGAAAUCAAGAAAUUAUUACAUUGUGGCCUAUUUGGCCAAUUUUUAAUUAGAAGCAUUAGUAUGAGUUCUGUAUUUUUGAAAUUGAAUGAGUAAACUCAUGUUGAGCAAGGAGGAUGAUAAAUAAGAAUCCAUGGGUGAUUUAUCACUUCUUCCUGGAGAGCACCUUUAGCAAUAGCAAAUGUAAAUUAAGAUGAUACUACAAAACAGAUUAGUGGAAAAUAGUGUGCAGAAUUCCAGAGAGAUUAACAAUUAGGACGGAAGGUAUUUAAAAAUCACAAAGGAAACUCAAGUGCCUACUAGUCUUGGAAAGAAUUUGUGUUUAUCUAGUUUCUUUAGUCCAAGAAUCUCAGUACAUUUAAAUGGAUUUUAAAUUUACUUUCACAUACUAAAGUAUCCACACUGUAAUUUAAAUCCUACAGAUCAAAAUAAAAAUCAAAGUGUCCUAACUUUAUUGAGAACUACAAAACAGAAAGAAAGCUACUAAUGAAUCUCUCUUGGUAAAUUAUUCACAGACACAUACAUGGGGAAGAUGAGCAGAAAACACUGCACUUCACUAAUACUGUGUGGCAGGAUAAUUUACUGGAAAAUUCAUUUGUGUUUUAUUUUCUCUGCUGAGGAACAAUCAGAAAGAAUGAGAGAGUUCAUUGUGUUUUGUGCUCUGCAUUUUUUCUUAUGUUCUGUGAGGGUCUUUGUAGAUUUUUUUUUUUUUUGCCUCAGGGGAUUUUCAGGGCCUAAAGCAGAAAGUACUUGAAAAUAACCUCUUUUUCGGGUUUUUGUUAAAGUACAAACUGGGGGUCGCAAAUUCAAACUGACAAAGCCAGGCAGGUAUCUAAACGAACAAAGCAGACUGAGUUUAAUUUGUUACUCAUAGGCUCAAUUAAGUGGCUUAAUUGACUAUAUAGGAAUAGUCUUUAUUUUCUUUAGGAAUAUACUUUAUUCCAUUUUUCUUAAAAUACUUAACAUUUUGGUUCAUCUUUUUUUUUUCCUUGAUAGUGUCAAAGAAAGAUUGCACUAGCAUUAAACAGGAAGGAAGGUUUUACUCAAGGCUAGUAAAAUAGGGGUCAAGACUUGCAGUAGAGAAGAGAAAUUGAACUCCACUUCACUGAAACAAAAGACUGUAAGAGUUUUUAAGCACUGGACUGAACUAAUGGAAAAAUACUGGAGGGCUUUUGAUGGGAGGUUGGUCAACGUAAUUAGGUCAUCUGUGUUUGCUAAGAGGUGCCCACUGAAGGUAGGCUUCCACUCACUCAAAGAGAUUUAGACAUAAGGGCACUAUGUUUUACAUUCUGAAAAGAUGCAUUCCAGGUUUGUCAGAAAGAAAUUUCUGGGUUGUAAAAUUGGCAAGAGGCUGGGAGAAGGUUUACAUCUAAAGAGAAAGAAUUUAUAAUUGCAAGUUUUCUAAAGUAAUUGCUCUUAGAAACGUGGACUAAACAGAGUCUCACUUUCAUAUUUUUCUUAUGGUCUUAUUUAUUUAGUUUUUGAGAGGUUGGAGGAAGUUGAAAUCUUUCUUUAUAGUGAUUUACAGAAAGUUGCUGAAAGAAAAGGAUGCCUGAAGAAGUAACUUGGUGGCUUAAAUAUUAAAUUCUCUAAGCUAGGUCAUAUUCUUCAUGUCUCCAAUUUGACUAAAACAAUAUGUCACAAUAUAAAUGAAUUGUGAAUUUAUUUUGAGUGAAUUCAACUGAAUUAUAUAAUUGUAAAAACAGGAUGAAAACACAUUGAACAUAUAUAUGUAUAUAUAUCAAAGAAUAUAUAUACUCUGUUAUCAGGUAAAGAAAUAGAGGCAAAAAUAAGUCCCAGAACCUAUUGUCAGAAAACAAGUAAAACCCCAAAGCACUAGGCUUAUGAGUGCAACUGGGUGGAAGCUUCAAUAGUGUGAUUUAGAGGAAGCUAAACUCAUCUAUCAAAACUAUCUUUUUGGCAGAAGGUCAUGGUACUCAUCAUUUUAUUUAAGUUUUUUUUAGAGAUAAGAUAUUGAUUUUUAAAAAUGUUUAUAUGUUAUUAUAAAGGAGUUUAUGCAAGUAUAAAUUCAACUCUGUAGGAAAAGCUCUUGGAAAUUCUCUUCCUUUAUUUCAUAUUUUAGUGCAUAAGGUUGGGUUCAUUAUACUCCUUGGAUCUAAUCUGGGCUCACUGUAUUUUUUUCUUUGAGGCUUACUGCUCUUUCUUUACUUGCUCCCACUGAGAAGUUUUCUAUGUGUUUUCGUGAAUUGUGUAUUGUUGUUUUGUGUGCAUAUAUUUUAAUGUAUAUAAAUUGUGCCACAGAUCUCAUUUUUUUUGCAAAAAGCACUGUACUUUUGAAUUAUGUUUAUGUUUUUAUGUAUAGAUCUAUUGCUUCUAUUUUCUACUUGAAUUUCAUGUUGUGCAUUGAUUACACUUUACUUGUCUAUUGUGACAAUGAUGGACAAUUUGAUUGACUCUAAUUGUCUGCACCCACAGUAAUGCUGUGGCAAGCACUCUUGUUUGUUUCCAUUAGAAAUCUUUAUAAGAAUUAUCUAAGAAGGGUAUUUUGGGGUUAUAAGUUAUCUUAUUUAUACAAUCAUCAACAAUUGAUUCCCCAGAAUGAAUACACCAGCCUUCUCUUUCACUAGCAGUGCACGGACAUUCCUAUACCACAUCUUCACCCACACUUGCAAUAUAAUGGAUGUAAAAUAAUACUUCAUUGUGCUUUAAUUUUCAAUUAUUUACCUACUAAGUAAUUUAAUCAUGAUUGUGAUAAGUUUGUUAACAUUUUGUGUUUUACCUUCUGUUAGUUGCAUGUUUGUGUCUUGUACCCAUUUCUUUCUAAUACGAUUUCUGUCUUUUCCUUGUUGCCAUAUAGAAGUUCAUUAUUUGCUCCACAUAUAAAAUGCUUAAUUUUGUAAUAAUCAAAUUUUCAAUAUUUUAACUUUUGUUUUUUGCCUUUGUUGUUUCUGCUGUUAGAAGUCCUUAGCUACUCCAGGGAAGCAAAGAUCAUUAUAUUAAUUCCAAUUAAUUUUAAAGUUUAAUCAUUCAUAUUAUAGGUAUUUCUAAGUUUUAGUUUGAAGACCUUUACCCAUACUAUCUCAUGGAUCUAGUUAUUUUACAUGUCCUUUAAAACAGAGGAAAGUGACAAUCAGUAGAAUAAAGGAUAAAAAUGCAUCAUAAAAAAUAAAUAUACAUACCCUUAGACAGAGAAGAAUACAAAAAAAGGUAUAUUUCACAGGAUUAAAUCACAUAAAAAUUGUUAAAUAGUAAUGUUAUGGCCUGAAUUAUAUCCUGGCAAAAUUCAUAUGUCAACACCUUAACCCCCAGUACCUUAGAAUGUGACUGCAUUUGGAGAUAAGGUAUUUUAUUUUAUUUUAUUUUACUUUAUUUUAUUUUUUGAAAAGGAGUCUUGCUCUGUUGCCCAGGCUGGAGUGCAGUGGCACAAUCUCGGCUCACUGCAACCUCCACUUCCCAGGUUCAAGUGAAUCUCCAGCCUCAGCCUCCUGAGUAGCUGGGACUACAGGCGUAUGCCACCCUGUCUGGCUAAUUUUUUUUUAUUUUUAAUAGAGACCAGGUUUCAUCAUGUUGGCCAGGCUGGUCUCGAACUCCUGACCUCAGGUGAUCCGCUCACCACGGCCUCCCAAAGUGCUGGAAUUACAGGCAUAAGCCACAGUGCCUGGCCAGCAAUAAGGUAUUUUAGAGAGAAAAUUAUGCUAAAAUGAGGUCCUUAGGAUAGGCCCUAAUCCAAUCUGACUGACAUCCUGAUAAAAAAAAACUAAUACAAGUGGGUAAACAUGCAAUAGAAUUUUAUGUUGAAUCAUCAGAAAACCUUUCUGCCACUAAAUACUAUCAAGAUUGCAAGAUAAUUACUCCAGAUAAAUAAUGACAAUCACUUCCCAUGAAAAUAUUUACAGCUACUAAUGAUAAAUGCUAAAAUAUUUGUUGUAUCAACUUGUGCUUAACAGGUAGGAGUGUAGAUUGUUAGGUCAUUUUUAAACUUUCAUGCUCUAUUAACUAUUGUUCAUUGUUUGCCUAGCUAUGCUAUUGUAAAAAGAAAUGUUGUAAAGUCUUGGUAUACAUAAUGAAGCAGAAAAACAAUGCAUUUGUACAUAAAUUAAGCUAUUAGCUUAAUUUCUUUCAAGUAACAAUUUUAAACAGAUGCUGAUUCACUCUGCUAAAAUAGGUUGUUUAUUCGUUAACCAAACAUAAAUUAUAAUAAUAGUUACUCCUAUUUCCUAGUUCCCUUAAUAUUCUAUUUCUCAUCCAAAUAAAUGGCUCUUUAUUAGAAUAACAGUGACUACUGUCCUUAUGCAAAUAAAAGUGAGGUAUAUUCCCAUUUGUUAUCAAUGCUUUGACAGCAGAAGCUCAAGUUCAAAAAUGAUGUUUUUUUCUUAAAUAGACCUCUUUCAACCUUUAGAAACCCUGUUGGUCUGAGAUAGGAUUUUUAAUGUACUCAGUGCUUUGAUGAUAACCAGAGCAAUGGCUGUAUGCAACUGUCAAUAAAUACACAUGGGAAGAAAAAGCAUUAUGAAAUAACUCAAGAUAAAAUUUAUUGGUGAGAAUUGGAGCCACUAUCAUCAGUCAACUGUCUCCUUUCAUUUCACCUAGGUAUAUUGCUUUUAAUUUUUUUCAGCUUACCAAGGAUCACAUUGCAGAAGCUAAAGGAAUAGUAAGGACUCACUCAUUGAUUUAUAGAAUGUUCAAGCCUCCUGGUUUUAACUGGACUGAAGUUUAUCUGAGUAAUUCUUAUAUACCUAGAUGAUGACACCUUCUUAGAGUGGUGAUAAAACACCAACUCUGUUCAACAUUAAACCAGCCAGGCAUAGAGGACAGCCACCUUCUCUCAUCCUCAUUCCUGUUGAUAAGAUUAUAUAUCACUGAGACAACAGCACGUCUAAUUCAAGAUAUGAACUGCCUCUUUGUUCUCUCACAUGUAGCGAGGAAAAGCAUUUCAAAGUUUUCCAUCUCUCUAGAACUAAUCAUGACAAGUUGAUUCUCACUAGGUGACAACAUUUUACUCAGCUCUAUCAGAAGAUGUGCACUGUAAACCAAUUUGAAAUACAUUCAGAGAACUUGGCCUUUAGAAUCUUAUAAUCUUAUCUUUAUUUUCACAAAAUAGGAUAAACAGCUGAGAGAAAAAAACAUAUGGAGCAUAUGCAGAGAGUCACUAUUUCCCUCUCCUUCUUUCUCUGUCUUUGCUCUCACUCUUGCUCUGUCUCAAUCCCUCUCUCCCUUUCAUUCUUGCUCUGACACUUUCUUGCUCAUAGUGCAAGGGAUGCACUAGUGUUGUUUUGACCAGGAGUUCAAAUCCUGAUUUUGGUUCUUAAUAUAUGAAAAACUUAAUAAUAUCUUUAUUAGUAAAAUAAAGCUAGUAACACUUACCUCAUAGUCUUAUGGUAAGAGUUAAAAUUAUCUAUUAAAAUACUCACAUGCUUAGCAUAGUGUCUGGCAAACAUUUAUCUCUUAAUAAAUGUUAGUAUGUUCAAACUCCAUCCCUAUGUUGGAUUUUGAAAAAGAUAUUUUACACUUUUGGUUUUCAGUCUGGCAUGUAAGAUGCUUGAAAGUCACCACUCUAUCUAACAAGUAAAAUCAUGUACGAACUAAACUAUCAACGACCCUUUUUACAUCCUUAAGAGAAGUGAGGUCAUAGAGGAAGCACUGCCCCCAAACUGAAGAUACCAAUAGACAAAUACAAAGCAAAAAUGUGUGAGCUGAAACCUCCAUGGGAACCAGAGCUGGUGUAGAGAAACCAGAACUGGAACUGACAAAUCACUGGAGGCUCAGUGUGAACAAGUGUGGGUUAAAGGAUCCAGGGGAACCCUGUCACUGGGGUCACCCCCACACUUUGGUGACUUUUACCUUCUGAAGCUCUACCAGGUUCUCAUAGUGAAUAUCUGAGAAACAUCUCCUGCUUCUAACGGGGAGGGGUAAAGAAUCUAUUUGAAACAUGCCAGAUCACUGUGUCCUUCUGAACAAGGUCUGCCCUUAAGAGAAACUGCUUAACCAGAACCUAACUGCUGGAAUUUUAUCAGAGCUUAGGUGACCUGGGGGAAGAGAAACAUUCAGCUUCAGCCAGAGCUAGCCUUCCACGUGGGAGAAGGGAAACAUCAAACUCCAGUCCACUGCAGUUAUCCUGUUUCAUAAAUAAUGCAAGCAAGAUGUGAAAGGAGUAACAAAUUUAAACUUGGAAAGAAAAAAAACCCACCAACUAGAAUUUUGUACUCUGUGAAGUUAUCCUUCAAACUGAAGGAGAAAUAAUGACUCAGAAACAAGGUUUUUCUUUAGGAGAGAUUAAUCGGGAGUGAGGUCUGCCUAAACCUGAGAUGAGAAGAAUUUGUCUCCUGAGAAUAAUGAUGGAUAUCCCUCAAGAAUUGAAGAUGGGCCAGAAAGAAGAAAGCAUUGUGGCUUGGUUGAUGUACAGAAAGAGCUCUUACUGAAUCCAGUAGCAUUCCCAGUGCUGUUGAAGGUGUAAAUCACUCUAAAGGCUUUGGUGUAUGCAGUCCUGGAUUCAAAUCCUAUCUCUGAAAGCUUGAAGAAGAGAGUUGACAUUUCUGGAGCACACAAAUCAACUCAUUAAAUAAUGACAAAUGAAUAUCUUUUCUGACUUCGAUAGCACACAUACUAGAAUUAGAAAAUACCAAGGAGAUCAUUGUGGCCCCUGGGCAUGGGUGAUCUAUAUCAUCGUUCCCCAACCCCUGGGCCAUGGACCUGUACUGGCUUAUGGCCUGUUGGGAACCGGGUCACACAGCUGGAGGGUACACAGAAUGAUUACAUUUGUUCCUUGCUGUUAGGAGGAACAAGCAGAAGUUCCAUAUGCCACCUUCUUCUGCUACUGCAGCAACAAGUGAUAUUCGAGACAGUGAAGCCCCCAUCAAUUCUAGACUGAUAUGGAGCAGAGACGACCUCCUAUACACACUCCCACUACUGACCCAUGGUGGACAAGAAACCAGAAAUUUCAUUAUGUUAAGCUUCUGAGAUAUUUCUGUUUUUUCCACUGAACAUUAUUCUAAUUUAUGUGAUAUAUUUGAUUUUAGAGCUAACUUGUUCUAAAGCUUACAGUCUUUUGCUGGGCAGGGUAGCAGUUCCAGCCACUUAGUAGGCUGAAACAGGAGGAUGGCUUAAGCUCAGGAGUUUGAGACCAGCCUGGGCUAAAUAAUGAGACCCCAUCUCUUAAAAAUAUAUACAAAAUAUAUAAACAAAAAUAAAGCUUACAAUUUUUUUCAACAACAACCUUGUGUAUAGUUCAAACGGAUUUUGUACCCCAUACCUUAGUAACCUACUCAAUGUCAUAUAAGCCUUUCUACCUUUCAGAGUAUCUUCUUGUCAUUCCUUCUUAAAAUGCUCCUCCCAAAUCCUAUUCUGUCUUUUUUUACUACUUUUGAUCUGAACUGUCCAAUAUGUGACUUUGUCCAUAUGUGUCCACAUGCAACUAUUGAGCCCUUGAAAUAUGGCUAGUUCAAAACUGAGAUACACUGUAAGUAUAAUACUGCAUACUGGAUUUUGAACAAUUAGGACAAAAAGAAUAUUAAAUAUAUUCUUAAAAUUAAUUACAUGUUAAAAUGGUAUGUUGGAUAUAUUUGGUUAAAUGAAACUUUAUUAAAAUGAAUUAGCCCUGUUUCUUAUUUUUUUUUUUGUUUUUUGUUUUUAAUUGUGUCUGCUCAAAAAACUAAAAUUACACAAGUGGUUCACAUUUGUAUCUUGAGUAAUAUUUCCAUGGAGAGCACAAAAAUAGAUCCUGAUGAAAGAAUAUAUCCAUCUUAAAACUUUUCUUGAAGAUCUAAAUCAGCUACAGUGACUUUCUUUCUUUUGUAGGGAAGGGAAAAAUAUCUUUUCCUAACCCAUCUGCCUAUCCGAGGUUCUUAGCUGAGACACCUAUAACCAAAGGUAGAUAAACAUACAAAUUUCUUUAAAUAAGUUUUAUGAACACAGAACCCCUCACAAGAAAAUGGAGACCAGAAAAAACAGUUAAACUUGUGUAUGCUUAUGCCUGGAUUGAUGAAGAGUAGACAGUCAUGGAGAAAUAUGAUUGGACAAAAGUUAUGGAAAUAAACUGGGGAAACAGCAAGGCCUGUUUGUUCAGAUUUUUCUGUGUGGCUCUUUGUCUUGAGAUGAGAAUGUGCCUUUCUUCUGGGUAUAAGGAGGGUACCUCUUACAUAAGGUCUUAUAACCAGCUUGAGGGGAGAAGGGCAAGGGGAAGGUGAGAGUGACCUCCUAGCUUCUGCUAUUUUUCCAAAUGCCAAGCUGCCAUAUUUCAGUGUAGCAUGACCUGAACCCCAUCACUCCACAUCACCUUACUCUAUAAAUUCAUUUUGCUAUUUUUUCUAUUUAUAUUAGUCCAUUUUCAUACGCUAUGAAGAAAUACCUGAGACUGGGCAAUUUAUAAAGAAAAAGAGGCUUAAUAGACUCACAGUUCCACAUGGCUAGGGAGGUCUCACAAUCAUGGUGGAAGGUGAAAGAGGAGAAAAGCCACGUUUUACGUGGCAGCGGGCAAAAGAGUGUGUACAGGGGAACUCUCCUUUAUAAAACCAUCAGAUCUCAUUAGACGUAUUCACUAUUCACUAGCACCAGGGGAAAAACCCAUCCCCAUGCUUCAAUUACCUCCCACUGGGUCCCUCCCAUGACAUGUGGAGAUUGUGGGAGCUACAAUUCAAGAUAAGAUUUGGGGGGUAACACAGCCAAACCAGGUUACUAUUGUAUAUCAUUAUAUUAAUGAUGCUUAUCUGAAACAAUUGUCCUGUCUUAAUAGGUACAAAGCUUUUAAAAUUACAGAAUAUUUGUUAUUUCUCUGAGACCUCCCUACAGUACUUUGCAGUCUACUUUGUACAGAUUACACAUUCUAUGAACUGUUUUAACUGAUUUUGGACAGUGAGGUUUCUGAGGAAGACAUUGAUGGCAGGCUGCUUUGAUUUGUGAUUGUUGUAUCUAUUCUGGGCUCUCACCAAAUGCUCACUGGAGUAGACAUUUCAGAGUAUAAAAAAAAGUUAAAAAUUCAAAAACACAAAAGGCACUCAAAUAAACCAGGAUUUGAAAAUCACCAAUUUCAAUUUUUCUAAACUCUUAAUGAGAACCUCACCUGGUCUAUAAUUGAAGAUCAACCAAAGGUCAUGCAGAAAAACAAAAUAGAAUGUAACAAGUAAGCUCUUCUACUAUUUCAUGCUUAGGUACAUUGACAGCGGGCCUCAUAGAAAUGGGGCUAAUCUAAAAAUAAAUAUCCAUAUUUUGGUUUGAAGAAAUAAUUAUCCUAUGCAAGUUCUUAGACCCAUCUCUAGGAAUACUGAAAGACAGAUAUUUUUCUCACACAAGUAAAUAUUCUACCAUGUUUCAAAAAAAAGUGAAAGACAAUAAAAAUGGUAUUGGAAAGAGUGUGCUAAAGAUGACCAUCUGUUCUCCAGGAGGUGAAAGAAAAGGAGCUUAAAAUUACACUAAGGGACAUAGUAUGUUUACAAAGUAUACUAAUACUACAGAGACUGCUGGAGAAGGCAUUAAAGAAGUGUGCAGGGAAGCAGCAAUCAACUGUGCCCUAAAGCAGACAGGAGAAGCCAAGUGUAUGGCAAGGAUUGGGUCAAAGACCCUUCUGGGAAGUCAGCACACCCCUGCCUGAUUCAGGAUUUGCUGGGAGAGGCAGUUCAAAAAUCUAAGACUUUACUGGAUUGUCAUUGUCCACACACAAUCUGCUUAGUGAAACUUUCUAA